rnacentral:rRNA from 1 species
GAUGAACGCUAGCUACAGGCUUAACACAUGCAAGUCGAGGGCACCGGCGCACGGGUGAGUAACGCGUAAUCAACCUGCCCUUCAGAGGGGGACAACAGUUGGAAACGACUGCUAAUACCGCAUACUGAAGGAGGGGAUUGCGUCUGAUUAGCUAGUUGGAGGGGUAACGGCCCACCUAGGCGACGAUCCCUAGCUGGUCUGAGAGGAUGAUCAGCCACACUGGGACUGAGACACGGCCCAGACUCCUACGGGAGGCAGCAGUGGGGAAUAUUGCACAAUGGGCGCAAGCCUGAUACAGCCAUGCCGCGUGUAUGAAGAAGGCCCUAGGGUUGUAAAGUACUUUCAGUCGGGAGCGUUACCGACAGAAGAAGCACCGGCUAACUCCGUGCCAGCAGCCGCGGUAAUUC